UGCCCCGUGGCUUAGUUGGUUACGGCGUCCGACUGUUAUUUCUCUUGUGACAUCGGAAGAUCGAGAGUUCAAGUCUCUCCGGGGCAG
rfam:Pleurotus ostreatus PC15 unplaced genomic scaffold scaffold_06, whole genome shotgun sequence.